UGGGGAGUAUUGGACAAUGGGGGCAACCCUGAUCCAGCCAUGCCGCGUGAGUGAAGAAGGCCUUAGGGUUGUAAAGCUCUUUCAGUCGUGACGAUGAUGACGGUAGCGACAGAAGAAGCCCCGACUAACUCCGUGCCAGCAGCCGCGGUAAUACGGAGGGGGCAAGCGUUGUUCGGAAUUACUGGGCGUAAAGCGCGUGUAGGCGGUUCGUUAAGUCGACUGUGAAAGCCCAUGGCUCAACCAUGGAAGUGCAGUCGAUGCUGGCAGACUGGAGUCCCGGAGAGGGUGGUGGAAUUCCCAGUGUAGAGGUGAAAUUCGUAGAUAUUGGGAGGAACACCGGUGGCGAAGGCGACCACUUGGACGGGUACUGACGCUGAGACGCGAAAGCGUGGGGAGCAAACAGGAUUAGAUACCCCGGUAGUCC
rnacentral:rRNA from 1 species